ensembl:snoRNA
CAACCAGCCAAUUAGCCCACUUCUCUGAAUGUAUUUAUUUCUACAGAAACAUAGAAACAUCUGGCAAUAGUGAUGCCAUUGUAUGAGCCUGAAGAACAACUGAGGUCAUUAAGGCUCCUGAAAGUGGCUACACUA